GUUCCAGGUUGAUAUCAACAGGCGUGAACAAUGUUGUGCGGCCCACUAUGAACAGUAUUGUCAACAUGUUGUUACAGCAUUGUUCAACUGUAACAACUUGGAACAACAUGGUUGACAACUUGUUCAUAGUUGGCCGCACAACAUUGUUCACGCCUGUCGAUAUCAACUUGGAAC